rnacentral:rRNA from 1 species
AACGAACGCUGGCGGCAUGCCUAACACAUGCAAGUCGAACGAGACCUUCGGGUCUAGUGGCGCACGGGUGCGUAACGCGUGGGAACCUGCCCUUAGGUUCGGAAUAACUCCCCGAAAGGGGUGCUAAUACCGGAUAAUGUCUUCGGACCAAAGAUUUAUCGCCUUUGGAUGGGCCCGCGUUGGAUUAGCUAGUUGGUAGGGUAAAAGCCUACCAAGGCGACGAUCCAUAGCUGGUCUGAGAGGAUGAUCAGCCACACUGGGACUGAGACACGGCCCAGACUCCUACGGGAGGCAGCAGUGGGGAAUAUUGGACAAUGGGCGAAAGGCUGAUCCAGCAAUGCCGCGUGAGUGAUGAAGGCCUUAGGGUUGUAAAGCUCUUUUAACCGGGAUGAUAAUGACAGUACCGGGAGAAUAAGCGCCGGCUAACUCCGUG